rnacentral:snRNA from 1 species
AUACAUGUAGGGUACAUAUACUAAAAUUGGAACGUUACAGAGAAGAUUAGCAUAGCCCCCUGUGUAAGGAUGACACAAAGAAUCGUGAAGUGUUUCAUAUUUUU